AAAAAAAAAAGUCAGAUUCUUCCCUCUUCAACGAUUUCACUUCACAGCACGAGACAAACAUCUGAAACCAGUGGUAAGAUAAAGACUAUAUGUGUCUCUCUGCCUUUAAAAUAUAACAUUUGUUACCCAUUUUCAUUUUGUUUUGUAUUUUACAUUUUCAUGUCUAAUAUUCAGCUGAUCCUGUGACUCUGUCUUACUCUGUUACUGUGAAUAUUGAAUAUUUCAAGAUCAACAUUAAAAUCAUGGCAAUCAUUUUAUCUUCUGCCUUGAUAAUCAUGAGGUCAACAGUGGAAUUACACUGUUUAUAUUUGAUUGGCCACCCCUGCAAUUACCCUCAUCUUUGCCAACACAGUAGUCUCAAUGAAAAGACUGAAGGGGUGCUGACAUUUUGUUAUGCAGUCCUAAUGUCAGUCUGAGCCUGACCUUACUCAUGUACUGCAGAUCAGAGUAAGAUCAACUGUUUAUGUGAUUCUAUUUAUGAGUCUUUAUAUUUCAACAGGAGGAGAAGGAGUCAAAAUAGAUAUUGGGAACAUGAGCAACGUUGCUAUGGGACACAAUGCAGGAGGCUUUGGUGUAGGGAACAACUGCAUUGUGAACGCAGGAGGAAAAGGAGCCCAAAUAAUUAUUGGCAAUGCAACAAACAUGGGAAUGGGAUACAUCGGACACAUUGGUGCAGGGAACAAUGUUAACAUUAACAUGAAACCCCCAUCCAAGAGAUAAUACCAUGGUACAUCAAAUGGCAUCUUAUCUGUACAGUGACACUGUAGUUGUCAAAUGUAAUUCUUCAAGAAUUUGGUUGGACUUCGCAGAAAGAAAAUAUAAUUAUUUAUUAUAUUAUA